UACGUAGGGUGCGAGCGUUAAUCGGAAUUACUGGGCGUAAAGCGUGCGCAGGCGGUUUGUUAAGACAGAUGUGAAAUCCCCGGGCUUAACCUGGGAACUGCGUUUGUUACUGGCAAGCUAGAGUGUGUCAGAGGGAGGUAGAAUUCCACGUGUAGCAGUGAAAUGCGUAGAUAUGUGGAGGAAUACCGAUGGCGAAGGCAAUCCCCUGGGCCUGCACUGACGCUCAUGCACGAAAGCGUGGGGAGCAAACAGG
rnacentral:rRNA from 1 species